AGUUCCAUCUCCUUCAUUGAAUCGUGCCAUUAGAUGAUUGGCAUCCGGGAAGGUUUCGCUGUGCAACUGUUGAGGUUAAGAAAGGCACCACGGCAGCUUCGUCUCUACUGUUGCCCUGUUCAAAGAAACAUCAUCCCUGCGCCCAGCUAAAAGCUAAGUAACCGCUUCAUUCUUAUCGCUCCUUUAAUUCUGUCCGUGCCCUCCAACAUCCCUCCUAUUUCAGUGCCUUGGUGCUGCAGAUUUCAGCGCUACCUCUCAGUGCUUGUUAACUUUUUGCCCGAUAUGUUGUUUUCACAAACUGGUUAUUCCUUUGAACUUGCUUUUGUUACCUGGAUGUCUGUCCUGCCUGUGACUUUGCCUUGUGAAUAUGUUACUGUACAUUUUGCUUUGAUACCUGUUCUGUCUCGGUCUUUGUGUUAAUGAGCGUCAGUGUCUUUUGUCAGUCUGCUCUUUGGAUCGUAUUUGUCAAUUUGACUGUUUCCGUGUGCUUGCGUGAAUGUGAUACGUCUGUGAUUUCUUGUGGCUCUGCUGCCUAGGUGUUUCCUUGCCUCUCUCUUGAUUUAUGAAAAAUGUUCACUCUAUGCCCGUUCUGCUGACCCAACUGUUUGUGCCUCUCAAAUGGUGUAUUGUCUGUUACUUUUGUUUUACCUUGAUUGGAUUUUUGUUUGCCCUCCUUUAUGCUCUGUUUGUAUGAUUGAAUUGUUUUGCCAUGCUAGUGUACUUGUGGCUCUGCUCUUGUCAUCUGUGUGAUUGUAAGUCAAUUUUGCUUGGCUUGUUUCCUGUGUCUGUCUUUGCUCUCAUAUUGUGAAUGUUCUGUCCUCAAAUAGGCCUGCUGUUCAGCUUUUUUAAAAUUGUUUGUUUGUUUGCCAUCGGUGUGUUGUGCAUUGUUGCAUUGCUGUCUUGAAGUGUCUUGACUGACUCUCAUUGCUUUGUCUUGAGUGACUAUGUGGUUGUCGAUCUUGUCUGGUCUCUAUGGCAUAGUUUGCAAUUGGAGUCAGUGUUCCAGUCUACAUCUUCGUUUGUGCCUCUCUAAUGGUGUAUUGUCUGUUACUUUUGUUUUACCUCAAUUGGAUUUUGGUUUGCCUUCCUUAAUGCUCUGUUUGUAUGAUUGAAUUGUCUUGCCUUACUAGUGUACUUGUUGCUAUGCUCUUCUCAUAUGUGUCAUCACUAAGCUGAAGUGUUAUGAAUCUUACAUUAAAUUCUACUACUUGUGUCAAAGGGGACAUUGUCUGCUUUAUGAAGUGUUUGAUCUGUGUAUUGACUUCAUUCAUAGUGUGCUAUGUAAUUUGUUACCUUGGUUUCCUUUUGAAAUAAGUUGGUGUAGUGGUUAAUUAAUGAAUGAUGACAUCACUUGUGAGAGACUUGGGUAUCCUUGUUCAUAUUUUCCUUGUUUCAAUGUGCUUUGAUCUGAAUCUGACUGACCUUGUGCAUGAGUUAUGUUGCUUCUUGUAGUAUUUGUCUUCAAUUCUCAAGUGAAUAGUGUUCAUGACUGAGUUUGCACUCCCUGUCUCUCCUAUUAAGUGAAGUUUUGAUUGUACUGUGUGUAGGCUUGUAUCUGGAGCUUUACAGUUUUUCCUCCAUGCUGUGGUUUGAUUGUUAAAUUUUAUUUAUUUUGCAAGUACCAUCAUUGCUUCUAGAGCUGGAUCACUUUUGUGCUAUGUCGUUCCCUGUCAUAAAAAGCUUGAAAUGUUUUAGAUCAUGACCCUGGCUUCCUCCUUGGACUAUUCCAUUCUCCAGCUUGCUGUUACUGAAGUUCACCAGACUUCCACUGUCUCGCACAAGGGCUUCAAGGCACACCCCCAAUGUAGUACCAGGGUUGACCAGGGUUGCCAGCGACACAUUCUUCACUAUUUCUGAGUAAUCUCCUGGUGGUCUUCGCCUCACUCACCGACUCUGCUUGAUGUCAAACUGGAAGGUGUGAUGGUGUCAGAAUGGUGGAAUCCUGAAUCGAAGAAGCUGCAGUGCCCCAUGGAAUUAUUUUCAAUCUGCAUUCCAAUGUUUUACCUAAGUUGCAUCCCAUUUUCCCCCAAGAUGGACCUUCAAUCCAAGCCAAGCCUUCAAGUUUCCGCAUCGUUCGAUCUGGAGACUUAAUUCAAGCGCUUUGCCUGCUUACGAAACCCCUGGACUGAGGGCAUUUAGUAUGGAUCUGAAUCAGCACAAGAGCCAUUUUCAGAUGAGCAGCUACAUGAGAACAAUGCACUGUGUUUGUUUCAACUUCGAUUACCAACUGAAUUUGAUUAAAAUCUGUUAAGGUAGUACUUUUCUGCUUCAUUCAUCAUCCACCCUAAACAACUAUCAUUAACUCAUCAACUAUAAUUAACUCACUAUCAUAAACACACUCAUUUCUUACUGUGAGAUAAAUAACGACCACACUCCAGGCCUUAGGAACAACGGUACAAGAGCUUAAGAAAGCAAAUUUUCCUUGUGACCAUGAAGUUUUAUCUUAAUUAGAAUCUUUACUCAACUCCUAAGAUGAUAGACAGAAAUGAGGCCCAGCUCCUUGCCACACAGAAGUAGUGAAAACAUAGCACACCAGUAAUAGCAGAAACAGAAACAGUAAAUAAUGCUAUGGCUCAUUUAAAGGGGUUUUCAAACGUACAGACUUAUUCGCUCUUUCAGGAUGUUGAAUAAUGGCCCAAAAGAGUAGCUAUUUCUGUUGCUCUUGCUAAGUUCUCAUGUCAUGUGGAUCUUAAUUAAAAAAUGCAGCAUAAAAAUUAAUUGCCGCCUAAAGUAACAGUAAGCAGGUCACCAAACUUACAUUGCUUCUAAUGUGACAAACUAGGGCAUAAAUGCUCACAGCUACAUCAGUAAAAUUGAGAUAUUUCUUUAUUUGGGUUGACACCUCAAGAACAAAAAAUUGAACAAGAAGACACAAUAAAGGAACUUUAAAAUUAAUGAUUUUUUAAGAAGGUGGGGAACAAUGCAAUUUAGAAGAUUUACCCCUAAGAAAAGAAAUGCGCAGUUAUAAUACUAGAAACGACACAGA
rnacentral:lncRNA from 1 species